AAAUUGCCCUGAUGUGGGGGAUAACCAUUGGAAACGAUGGCUAAUACCGCAUAAUAGCUUCGGCUCAAAGAGGGGGACCUUCGGGCCUCUCGCGUCAGGAUAUGCCCAGGUGGGAUUAGCUAGUUGGUGAGGUAAUGGCUCACCAAGGCGACGAUCCCUAGCUGGUCUGAGAGGAUGAUCAGCCACACUGGAACUGAGACACGGUCCAGACUCCUACGGGAGGCAGCAGUGGGGAAUAUUGCACAAUGGGCGCAAGCCUGAUGCAGCCAUGCCGCGUGUAUGAAGAAGGCCUUCGGGUUGUAAAGUACUUUCAGCAGUGAGGAAGGUGGUGUCGUUAAUAGCGGCAUCAUUUGACGUUAGCUGCAGAAGAAGCACCGGCUAACUCCGUGCCAGCAGCCGCGGUAAUACGGAGGGUGCGAGCGU
rnacentral:rRNA from 1 species